GACGAACGCUGGCGGCGUGCCUAAUACAUGCAAGUUGAGCGCUGAAGGUUGGUACUUGUACCGACUGGAUGAGCAGCGAACGGGUGAGUAACGCGUGGGGAAUCUGCCUUUGAGCGGGGGACAACAUUUGGAAACGAAUGCUAAUACCGCAUAAAAACUUUAAACACAAGUUUUAAGUUUGAAAGAUGCAAUUGCAUCACUCAAAGAUGAUCCCGCGUUGUAUCAGCUAGUUGGUGAGGUAAAGGCUCACCAAGGCGAUGAUACAUAGCCGACCUGAGAGGGUGAUCGGCCACAUUGGGACUGAGACACGGCCCAAACUCCUACGGGAGGCAGCAGUAGGGAAUCUUCGGCAAUGGACGAAAGUCUGACCGAGCAACGCCGCGUGAGUGAAGAAGGUUUUCGGAUCGUAAAACUCUGUUGGUAGAGAAGAACGUUGGUGAGAGUGGAAAGCUCAUCAAGUGGCGGUAACUACCCAGAAAGGGACGGCUAACUACGU
rnacentral:rRNA from 1 species